rnacentral:rRNA from 1 species
GCGUUGUCCGGAAUUAUUGGGCGUAAAGAGCUCGUAGGCGGUUUGUCGCGUCUGCUGUGAAAACCCGAGGCUCAACUUCGGGCGUGCAGUGGGUACGGGCAGACUAGAGUGCGGUAGGGGAGAUUGGAAUUCCUGGUGUAGCGGUGGAAUGCGCAGAUAUCAGGAGGAACACCAAUGGCGAAGGCAGAUCUCUGGGCCGUAACUGACGCUGAGGAGCGAAAGCAUG